rnacentral:rRNA from 1 species
UGCAUGUCUGAGUACAUGCCGCAAAGAAGGCGAAACCGCGAAUGGCUCAUUAAAUCAGUUAUGGUUCACUGGACCGUACAAUCCUACUUGGAUAACUGUGGCAAUUCUAGAGCUAAUACAUGCACUGGAGCCCCGACCCCGUCGAAGGGGGACGGGCGCUUUUAUUAGACCAACCAUCGGGGGUUCGCCCCCUGCAAGGUGGUGACUCUGUAUAACUUUGUGCCGAUCGCACGGGCCUCGUCCCGGCGACGCGUCCUUCGAGUGUCUGCCUUAUCAACUGUCGACGGCAGGCCACGCGCCUACCGUGGUCGUUACGGGUGACGGGGAAUCAGGGUUCGAUUCCGGAGAGGGAGCCUGAGAAACGGCUACCACAUCCAAGGAAGGCAGCAGGCGCGCAAAUUACCCACUCCCGGCACGGGGAGGUAGUGACGAAAAAUAACGAUACGGGACUCUUUUGAGACCCCGUAAUCGGAAUGAGAACGGUCCAAAACCUCUAACGAGGACCCAUUGGAGGGCAAGCCUGGUGCCAGCAGCCGCGGUAACUCCAGCUCCAAUAGCGUAUAUUAAAGUUGUUGCGGUUAAAAAGCUCGUAGUUGGAUCUCAGUUCCGGUCGGGGGAUCCGUCUUCCGACGGCCAUCUCCCGGACCGAACAGCCGGCCGGUCUCCCUCGAUGAUCUUCAUCGGUUGUCUCGGGUUGACCGGCGAGUUUACUUUGAAAAAAUUAGAGUGCUCAAAGCAGGCUCCAGAAGCCUGGAUAAUGGUGCAUGGAAUAAUGGAAUAGGACCUCGGUUCUAUUUUGUUGGUUUUAGGAUCACGAGGUAAUGAUUAAGAGGGACAGACGGGGGCAUUCGUAUUGCGGCGCUAGAGGUGAAAUUCUUGGACCGCCGCAAGACGAACGACAGCGAAAGCAUUUGCCAAGAAUGUUUCCAUUAAUCAAGAACGAAAGUCAGAGGCUCGAAGGCGAUCAGAUACCGCCCUAGUUCUGACCAUAAACGAUGCCAGCCAGCGAUCCGGCUGCGUUCCUCAAAUGACGCGCCGGGCAGCUCCCGGGAAACCAAAGCUUUUGGGUUCCGGGGGAAGUAUGGUUGCAAAGCUCAAACUUAAAGGAAUUGACGGAGGGGCACCACCAGUCAUGGGACCUGCGGCUUAAUUUGACUCAACACGGGGAAGCUCACCCGGCCCGAACACGUGAAGGAUUGACAGAUUGAGAGCUCUUUCUUGAUUACGUGGGUGGUGGUGCAUGGCCGUUUUUAGUUGGUGGAGUGAUUUGUCUGCUUGAUUGCGAUAACGAGCGAGACUCUAGCCUACUAAAUAGGCGAUCCGGUGCGUAACACGCCGGUCGUUCUUCUUCUUAGAGGGACAAGGGGCGUCUAGCCUCACGAGACAGAGCAAAAACAGGUCUGUUAUGCCCUUCGAUGUUCGGGGCCGCACGCGCGUCACAUUGAAGGAAUCAGCGUGCGCUCACCCGGUCCGACAGGAUCGGGUAACCCGUUGAACCUCCUUCGUGCUUGGGAUAGGGGCUUGUAACUGUUCCCCUUGAACGAGGAAUGUCUAGUAAGCGCGAGUCAUCAGCUCGCGCUGAUUAUGUCCCUGCCCCUUGUGCACACCGCCCGUCGCUACUACCGAUUGAAUGAUUUAGUGAGGUCAUCGGACUGGCGCCCGUCUCGGCCCCUCCCGGGGCACGUCGCGGUCGCGCCGGAAAGACGACCGAACUUGAUCAUUUAGAGGAAGUAAA